rnacentral:pre_miRNA from 1 species
GAAAGUUAAGAAAUUGUUUCUUAACUUUUAAGUAAAAAAACUAAGAACUGAUUCUUAAAUAAAGAUUUUAAGAACCGGUUCUUAUUUUUUUUUUAGUUAAAAGCUAAGAAACAGUUUCUUAACUUCC